rnacentral:rRNA from 1 species
GACGAACGCUGGCGGCGUGCUUAACACAUGCAAGUCGAGCGGAAAGGCCACUUCGGUGGUACUCGAGCGGCGAACGGGUGAGUAACACGUGAGUAAUCUGCCCCUCACUUCGGGAUAGCUACCGGAAACGGUGAUUAAUACCGGAUAUGACGCGGCCUCGCAUGGGGUUGUGUGGAAAGUUUUUCGGUGGGGGAUGUGCUCGCGGCCUAUCAGCUUGAUGGUGAGGUAAUGGCUCACCAUGGCUUCGACGGGUAGCCGGCCUGAGAGGGUGACCGGUCACACUGGGACUGAGACACGGCCCAGACUCCUACGGGUGGCUG